UGAGGAAUAUUGCGCAAUGGGGGCAACCCUGACGCAGCGACGCCGCGUGGAUGAUGAAGGCCUUCGGGUCGUAAAAUCCUGUCAGGUGGAAAGAAGUGUCUAUGUGCUAAUACCAUGUAGAUUUGACGGUACCACCGAAGGAAGCACCGGCUAACUCCGUGCCAGCAGCCGCGGUAAUACGGAGGGUGCAAGCGUUGUUCGGAAUUACUGGGCGUAAAGCGCGCGUAGGCGGUUUGUUAAGUCAGCUGUGAAAGCCCUCGGCUUAACCGGGGACGUGCACUUGAUACUGGCGAACUAGAGUACUGGAGGGGGUGGUGGAAUUCCCGGUGUAGAGGUGAAAUUCGUAGAUAUCGGGAGGAAUACCGGUGGCGAAGGCGACCACCUGGCCAGAUACUGACGCUAAGGCGCGAAAGCGUGGGGAGCAAACAGG
rnacentral:rRNA from 1 species